rnacentral:rRNA from 1 species
AACGAACGCUGGCGGCAUGCCUAACACAUGCGAGUCGAACGAGACCUUCGGGUCUAGUGGCGCACGGGUGCGUAACGCGUGGGAACCUGCCCUUAGGUUCGGAAUAACUCCCCGAAAGGGGUGCUAAUACCGGAUAAUGUCUUCGGACCAAAGAUUUAUCGCCUUUGGAUGGGCCCGCGUUGGAUUAGCUAGUUGGUAGGGUAAAAGCCUACCAAGGCGACGAUCCAUAGCUGGUCUGAGAGGAUGAUCAGCCACACUGGGACUGAGACACGGCCCAGACUCCUACGGGAGGCAGCAGUGGGGAAUAUUGGACAAUGGGCGAAAGCCUGAUCCAGCAAUGCCGCGUGAGUGAUGAAGGCCUUAGGGUUGUAAAGCUCUUUUACCCGGGAUGAUAAUGACAGUACCGGGAGAAUAAGCGCCGGCUAACUCGGUG